rnacentral:ncRNA from 1 species
AGCACCAGGGGAGCCAUUUGGCUGAGAUGUAAUAAUACAGACCCUUAGAACCUGAUCUAGCUUGUACUAGCGUAGGGAGAGUGAAAAUG